rnacentral:rRNA from 1 species
AUACGUAGGGAGCGAGCGUUGUCCGGAAUUACUGGGCGUAAAGGGCGCGUAGGCGGCGCUUCAAGUCGUCUGUCAAAUGGGAGGGCUUAACCCUUUUUCGCAGACGAAACUGGAGAGCUUGAGAAGCAGAGAGGCAAACAGAAUUCCUGGUGUAGCGGUGAAAUGCGUAGAUAUCAGGAAGAAUACCAGUGGCGAAGGCGGUUUGCUGGCUGCAUACUGACGCUGAAGCGCGAAAGCCAGGGGAGCAAACGGGAUUAGAUACCCCGGUAGUCCUGGCAGUAAACGAUGUAUGCUGGGUGUGGGAGUAGCGAUACCUCCGUGCCGAAGUUAACGCGAUAAGCAUACCGCCUGGGGAGUACGAUCGCAAGAUUGAAACUUAAAGGAAUUGGCGGGG